GUGUGAACUGCAGGACACAUGAACAUCGACAUUUUGAACGCAUAUUGCGGUCCAUGCAA
rnacentral:rRNA from 1 species